GAAAUGGCAUUGAAUCCUACUCAGAUGUUGAAAUGCUCGACUUAGAUCUUGGACUAUGGGUUUAGACAAGGUCAAUGCUACAAAAGUGGAGCUCAAUGGCGUGCUUAGGUGGGCUUGAUGGCAAUGACUAUUUGAAAACUGCUGACAGAUUUGAUAUCUGAGAACAUUCGUGGACCCAAAUCCUUAGUAUGAAUGCAAAAUGAGGAUAGGCCAUUCUUUGGUUACUUCAACGAGAAACCUUAUGGUCUUGGGGGAUUCGAUGGAGAUUCCAUGGCUUCGAGCGUUGGAGUAUCUCAUCCACCUUCGAAAUCGUGGAUCGUUGAGGAACCCAUGAAAAAGACACGAGGAUUGAUAUGCAGCAGCUGGAGGCAUCAAUGAAUCCAUGUGCAUAAUUGUGGCGGUAAGUUAACGAUCUACCAUAUCCCUUCGUUCAGUAACUCCGAAAAAUCAGAUUUUCUUAUAAAAUAAUCACAGCGAUACUUCAAAGUACAUUGCUCUGCUUACCAUGAGGUUUGAAUUUAAAUUAGAAUUUUUUGUAUUAAAAUAUUUAAACCAUAGAUUAUUAUUAUUUUUUAUACGGUUAGAAUGUUUAAAUUAUUAUUUAAAAAAACGAAUAUGUGCUGUGCCAUAAAUGGAAGUGGAAGACCCUACUGCUAUUUUGCUACAUAGGUUUGAGAGUUAAAGGGUGUGGCUGGCAGGAAAAGACGUCGAGGGUUCUAAAGAAAAGCUCUACUUGCACGGUAUGUUGGUAAAUAAUACUGAAAUUCGAUAGCUAUGAAGAUUUUCUCUUGAAUAGAAAAGAGGCGGAGGCGUAAGUUACCGACUAUUGAUCUCACACAUAUUUGACUAGUAAAGUUUAGUCAAAAUUGUUUGACAACUAUUUUUAUUUUUUAUUUUGAAAAGUUAAAAGCCCAUGUGAUUUAGAAAAU